GGCCGCGGGAAUUCGAUUAGAGUUUGAUCCUGGCUCAGGAUGAACGCUGGCGGCGUGCCUAACACAUGCAAGUCGAACGGACUCUUCGGAGUCAGUGGCGGACGGGUGAGUAACGCGUGAGAAUCUGCCUUCAGGAUGGGGACAACCGUUGGAAACGACGGCUAAUCCCCAAUGUGCCGCAAGGUGAAACAGGUUUCUGCCUGAAGAGGAGCUCGCGUCCGAUUAGUUAGUUGGUGAGGUAAAGGCUCACCAAGGCAGCGAUCGGUAGCUGGUCUGAGAGGAUGAGCAGCCACACUGGGACUGAGACACGGCCCAGACUCCUACGGGAGGCAGCAGUGGGGAAUUUUCCGCAAUGGGCGAAAGCCUGACGGAGCAACGCCGCGUGUGGGAAGAAGGCUCUUGGGCUGUAAACCACUUUUCUCAGGGAAGAAGUUCUGACGGUACCUGAGGAAUCAGCCUCGGCUAACUCCGUGCCAGCAGCCGCGGUAAUACGGAGGAGGCAAGCGUUAUUCGGAAUUAUUGGGCGUAAAGCGUCCGCAGGGGGUUGAUCAAGUCUGCUGUUAAAGGGUGGAGCUUAACUCCAUUAAGGCAGUGGAAACUGGUAGACUAGAGGGCGACAGGGGUAGAGGGAAUUCCCAGUGUAGCGGUGAAAUGCGUAGAGAUUGGGAAGAACACCGGUGGCGAAAGCGCUCUACUGGGUCGCGCCUGACCCUCAGGGACGAAAGCUAGGGGAGCGAAAGGGAUUAGAUACCCCUGUAGUCCUAGCCG
rnacentral:rRNA from 1 species